UACGUAGGGGGCGAGCGUUGUUCGGAAUUACUGGGCGUAAAGGGCGCGCAGGCGGCUCUGAGAGUCAGAUGUGAAAGCCCCGGGCUUAACCUGGGAAGUGCAUUUGAUACUCUGGAGCUUGAGUACGGGAGAGGAGAGUGGAAUUCCCAGUGUAGAGGUGAAAUUCGUAGAUAUUGGGAAGAACACCGGUGGCGAAGGCGGCUCUCUGGACCGUAACUGACGCUGAGGCGCGAAAGCGUGGGGAGCAAACAGG
rnacentral:rRNA from 1 species